UACGUAGGUGACAAGCGUUGUCCGGAUUUACUGGGCGUAAAGAGCGCGCAGGCGGUCGUUCAAGUCGAGUGUGAAAGCCCACGGCUCAACCGUGGAGGGUCAUUGGAAACUGGGGGACUUGAGUGCAGAAGAGGAAAGCGGAAUUCCACGUGUAGCGGUGAAAUGCGUAGAGAUGUGGAGGAACACCAGUGGCGAAGGCGGCUUCCUGGUCUGUAACUGACGCUGAGGCGCGAAAGCGUGGGGAGCAAACAGG
rnacentral:rRNA from 1 species